rnacentral:rRNA from 1 species
GACGAACGCUGGCGGCGUGCUUAACACAUGCAAGUCGAACGGAAAGGCCCUGCUUUUGUGGGGUGCUCGAGUGGCGAACGGGUGAGUAACACGUGAGUAACCUGCCCUUGACUUUGGGAUAACUUCAGGAAACUGGGGCUAAUACCGGAUAGGAGCUCCUGCUGCACGGUGGGGGUUGGAAAGUUUCGGCGGUUGGGGAUGGACUCGCGGCUUAUCAGCUUGUUGGUGGGGUAGUGGCUUACCAAGGCUUUGACGGGUAGCCGGCCUGAGAGGGUGACCGGCCACAUUGGGACUGAGGUACGGCCCAGACUCCUACGGGAGGCAGCGGUGGGGAGUAUUGCAGAAUGGGCGGGAGCCUGAUGCAGCAACGCCGCGUGCGGGAUGACGGCCUUCGGGUUGUAAACCGCUGUCGCCUGUGACGAAGCGUGAGUGACGGUAAUGGGUAAAGAAGCACCGGCUAACUACGUG